ACGGCCACACCUAGGCGAAAACACCAGUUCCCGUCCGAUCACUGCAGUUAAGCGUCUGAGGGCCUCGUUAGUACUAUGGUUGGAGACAACAUGGGAAUCCGGGAUGCUGUAGGCU
rnacentral:rRNA from 1 species